AUCAACGCUGGCGGCAUGCCUAACACAUGCAAGUCGAACGAGAAAGUGGAGCAACCCAUGAGUACAGUGGCGCACGGGUGAGUAACACGUGACUAACCUACCUCCGAGUGGGGAAUAAACCCCGGGAAAACCGGGGCUAAGACCGCAUAAUGUCGAGAGACCAAAUGCGGAAAGCAGCUUGGAGAGGGGGGCGGGGGUCGCGGUUGAUUAGCUAGUUGGUGAGGUAAUGGCUCACCAAGGCGAUGAUCAAUAGCCGGCCCUGAGGAGGGGCGCACGGCCACACUGGAACUGAAACACGGUCCAGACUCCUACGGGAGGCAGCAGUGGGGAAUUUUGCGCAAUGGGGGAAACCCUGACGCAGCAAUGCCGCGUGGAGGAUGAAGUCCUUUGGGAUGUAAACUCCUUUCGAUCGGGAAGAUAAUGACGGUACCGGAAAGAAGAAGCCCCGGCUAACUCUGUGCCAGCAGCCGCGGUAAUACAGAGGGGGCAAGCGUUGUUUCGGAAUUAUUGGGCGUAAAAGGGCGCGUAGGCGGUGCGGUAAGUCACUUGUGAAAUCUCUGGGCUCAACUCAGAGUCUGCAAGCGAAACUGCCGUGCUUGAGUGUCGGAGAGGUAAGUGGAAUUCCCGGUGUAGCGGUGAAAAUGCGUAGAUAUCGGGAGGAACACCUGUGGCGAAAGCGGCUUACUAGACGACAACUGACGCUGAGGGCGCGAAAAGCUAGGGGAGCAAACAGGAAUUAGAUACCCUGGUAGUCCUAGCCCUAAACGAUGGAUGCUUGGUGUGACAGGUACCCAAUCCUGUCGUGCCGGAGCUAACGCAAUUAAGCAUUCCGCCUGGGGAGUACGGUCGCAAGGCUUGAAACUCAAAGGAAUUGACGGGGGCCCCGCACAAGCGGUGGAGCAUGUGGUUCAAUUCGACGCAACGCGAAAGAACCUUACCUGGGCUCGAAAUGUAGUGGACUGGGGUAGAAAAUAUCCUUUUCCCGCAAGGGCUGCUAUAUAGGUGCUGCAUGGCUGUUCGUCAGCUCGUGUCGUGAGAUGUUGGGUUAAGUCCCGCAACGAGCGCAAACCCUUAUUGCCAGUUGCCAGCAAGUAAUGUUGGGCACUCUGGCGAAACCGCCCCGGAUAACGGGGAGGAAGGUGGGGAUGACGUCAAGUCCUCAUGGCCUUUAUGUCCAGGGCUACACACGUGCUACAAUGGGUGGUACAAACCGUCGCAAACCCGCGAGGGGGAGCUAAUCGGAAAAAAGCCAUCCUCAGUUCGGAUUGGAGUCUGCAACUCGACUCCAUGAAGCUGGAAUCGCUAGUAAUCGCAGAUCAGCACGCUGCGGUGAAUACGUUCCCGGGCCUUGUACACACCGCCCGUCACAUCACGAAAGUGGGUUGUACUAGAAGCCGAUGGGCUAACCGCAAGGAAGCAGUCGUCCAAGGUAUAACUCAUGAUUGGGGUG
rnacentral:rRNA from 1 species